rnacentral:RNase_P_RNA from 1 species
ACAGUUCUUUGAGAGGAAAGUCCGGGCAACACAGAGCAGCAUACUGCCUAACAGACAGGCAAUAGUAAUCUAUUGACAGAAAGUGCAACAGAAAAUAACCGCCUGCAUUUAUUUGCAGGUAAGGGUGGAAAAUCAGGGUAAGAGCCUGUAGGAAAGGUUAGCGAUAAUCUUUUUGUGCAAACCUUAUGCGUUGAAAGUCCAAAUAUACCAACUAUUAAUGCUUGCUCGGCAAAAGUUGGGGGGUAGGAUGAUUGAGCUAUAUUGUAAAAUAUAGCCUAGAUUAAUGAUAGAACUUGACAGAACCCGGCUUACAGAUAC